AGAGUUUGAUCCUGGCUCAGGAUGAACGCUAGCUACAGGCUUAACGCAUGCAAGUCGAGGGGCAGCAUUGGAGUAGCAAUACUCAGAUGGCGACCGGCGCACGGGUGAGUAACACGUAUCCAACCUGCCGCUUACUCGGGGAUAGCCUUUCGAAAGAAAGAUUAAUACCCGAUGGUAUAAAGAGUUCGCAUGUUCUCUUUAUUAAAGAAUUUCGGUAAGCGAUGGGGAUGCGUUCCAUUAGAUUGUUGGCGGGGUAACGGCCCACCAAGUCUACGAUGGAUAGGGGUUCUGAGAGGAAGGUCCCCCACAUUGGAACUGAGACACGGUCCAAACUCCUACGGGAGGCAGCAGUGAGGAAUAUUGGUCAAUGGACGAGAGUCUGAACCAGCCAAAGUAGCGUGAAGGAUGACUGCCCUAUGGGUUGUAAACUUCUUUUAUAAGGGAAUAAAGUGAGGGACGUGUCCCUUUUUGUAUGUACCUUAUGAAUAAGGAUCGGCUAACUCCGUGCCAGCCGCGGC
rnacentral:rRNA from 1 species